rnacentral:rRNA from 1 species
GACGAACGCUGGCGGCGUGCUUAACACAUGCAAGUCGAACGGAAAGGCCCUGCUUUUGUGGGGUGCUCGAGUGGCGAACUGGUGAGUAACACGUGAGUAACCUGCCCUUGACUUUGGGAUAACUUCAGGAAACUGGGGCUAAUACCGGAUAGGAGCUCCUGCUGCAUGGUGGGGGUUGGAAAGUUUCGGCGGUUGGUGAUGGACUCGCGGCUUAUCAGCUUGUUGGUGGGGUAGUGGCUUACCAAGGCUUUGACGGGUAGCCGGCCUGCGAGGGUGACCGGCUAGAUUGGGACUGAGAUACGGCACAGACUCCUACGGGAGGCAGCAGUGGGGAAUAUUGCACAAUGGGCGGAAGCCUGAUGCAGCCACGCCGCGUGCGGGAUGACGGCAUUCGGGUUGUAAACCGCUUUCGCCUGUGACGAAGCGUGAGUGACGGUAAUGGGUAAAGAAGCACCGGCUAACUACGUG